rnacentral:rRNA from 1 species
AUACGUAGGGUGCAAGCGUUAAUCGGAAUUACUGGGCGUAAAGCGUGCGCAGGCGGUUUUGUAAGACAGAGGUGAAAUCCCCGGGCUCAAACUGGGAACUGCCUUUGUGACUGCAAGGCUAGAGUACGGCAGAGGGGGAUGGAAUUCCGCGUGUAGCAGUGAAAUGCGUAGAUAUGAGGAGGAACACCGAUGGCGAAGGCAAUCCCCUGGGCCUGUACUGACGCUCAUGCACGAAAGCGUGGGGAGCAAACAGGAUUAGAUACCCUGGUAGUCCACGCCCUAAACGAUGUCAACUGGUUGUUUGGUCUUCAUUGACUCAGUAACGAAGCUAACGCGUGAAGUUGGCCGCCUGGGGAGUACGGCCGCAAGGUUGAAACUCAAAUGAAUUGACGGGG